GACGAACGCUGGCGGCGUGCUUAACACAUGCAAGUCGUACGGUAAGGCCCUUUCGGGGGUACACGAGUGGCGAACGGGUGAGUAACACGUGAGUAACCUGCCCACAACUUUGGGAUAACGCUAGGAAACUGGUGCUAAUACUGGAUAUGUGCUCCUGCUGCAUGGUGGGGGUUGGAAAGCUCCGGCGGUUGUGGAUGGACUCGCGGCCUAUCAGCUUGUUGGUGGGGUAGUGGCCUACCAAGGCGGCGACGGGUAGCCGGCCUGAGAGGGUGACCGGCCACAUUGGGACUGAGAUACGGCCCAGACGCCUACGGGAGGCAGCAGUGGGGAAGAUUGCACAAUGGGCGCAAGCCUGAUGCAGCAACGCCGCGUGCGGGAUGACGGCCUUCGGGUUGUAAACCGCUUUCAGCAGGGACGAAGCUUUUUGUGACGGUACCUGCAGAAGAAGCACCGGCUAACUACGUG
rnacentral:rRNA from 1 species